rnacentral:misc_RNA from 1 species
CAGAGUUCUCGCCCCCUGGGUAGAUCUCCCACCCUCUGUUAUCGCUACCGUGUUGCUUUGGCGGGCCGCCGGGCCCUGCUCGGCCGCCGGCUCCGGCUGGCGCGCGCCCGCCAGAGGCCUAGUAAAACUCUACGUGUCAGUGUCGUCUGAGUACCACAUUAAUAGUUA